rnacentral:lncRNA from 1 species
GGGAUGUUAGGUCGUGAAUGAUGCAAAGAUAACUAAGCCGAUGAGAUCAACAAAUACAACGCUUUUAGCAUGCUGCUGCGAGUUACUUUUAUGUGGACCUAUAAUACAACCAUAGAAAAAGAUAUGUCAAGAUAGUUGACGACUAGAUGAUCUGCAGGAUGCAAACACUCGAGUGAGAGAACAACCUUGAGUUUGGGGUUCCUUUGUCAUCUUUUAAUUAAAUGCAUAAAUGGUUAUGCUGGUCCAUGGACAACUGCAAUGCUGCACUAUAUCAUAUCAGUGAUAUCUCAGCAGUUUACAUGUGUGCAAACCCAUGUAUUGGCCAU